rnacentral:rRNA from 1 species
GACGUAGGAUGCGAGCGUUAUUCGGAUUUAUUGGGCGUAAAGCGUGCGUAGGCGGCUAUUUAAGUCUGGUGUUAAAGCUAGGGGCUCAACCCCUGUGAUGCACUGGAUACUGGGUAGCUUGAGUGCGGUAGGGGAAGGUGGAAUUCCGAGUGUAGCGGUGAAAUGCGUAGAGAUGUGGAGGAACACCAGUGGCGAAGGCGGCUUUCUGGUCUGUAACUGACGCUGAGGCGCGAAAGCGUGGGGAGCAAACAGG